CCGUCAGAUUCUUAACAAAAAUGGACGACGAUGCGUGCGUGACGAAGAUGCAGUGUGACCGCGGACUUAUCGAUACAAUGUCCAUCGUAUCCUUCAUCUGUGCAUAAAGAAAAUACCACAAUAUUACAAUUUAGUACCUUAAUUACUGUAUUUGGAUCAACAUAUGAUGAUGAUUGGAACUGCAUUUCCCAAUCACUGAAAAUGUGAACCCACCGGGAAAUGUACGUGAUGUUCAUAUUUACUGCAACAGAUUGAGAAUGUUAUUCGGCGUAAAUUGGCCCUGGAUGGUAUACCAUUCAGGCUGAGCCACUUUAAUAGCCGAAAGCUGAAGACAUUUGGACAGUCCCUAUUGUGCAGAUGCCGCAACUAUUGUAUUGAUAAGUUAGUUUUAAUUUGUAUUUGAUAUACAUCACAAAUAAUAUAUCCA
rnacentral:sRNA from 1 species